rnacentral:rRNA from 1 species
AACAAACGCUGGCGGCGUGCCUAACACAUGCAAGUCGUACGAGAAAGGGUCCUUCGGGGCCUGAGUAAAGUGGCGCACGGGUGAGUAACGCGUGGAUAAUCUGCCCUUCAGUUGGGAAUAACUCAUCGAAAGGUGGGCUAAUACCGAAUAAUGCUGUGAGACCUCGGUUGAUCAGCCAAAGAGAGCCUCUGCUUGCAAGCCCUCGCUGAAGGAUGAGUCCGCGUACCAUUAGCUAGUUGGUAGGGUAAUGGCCUACCAAGGCGACGAUGGUUAGCUGGUCUGAGAGAAUGAUCAGCCACACUGGAACUGAGACACGGUCCAGACUCCUACGGGAGGCAGCAGUGAGGAAUCUUGCGCAAUGGGGGCAACCCUGACGAAGCAACGCCGCGUGAGUGAGGAAGGUCUUCGGAUCGUAAAGCUCUGUCGGAUGGAAAGAACCGCAUAGGGGUAAACAGCCCCUGUGUCUGACGGUACCAUCAAAGGAAGCACCGGCUAACUCCGUGCCAGCCGCCGCCGUAAUAC